rnacentral:rRNA from 1 species
CACAAGCGGUGGAGCAUGUGGUUUAAUUCGAUGGUACGCGAGGAACCUUACCAGGGCUUGACAUACGUUGGAAGCGCAUCGAAAGGUGCGUGCCGCUUGCGGCCGGCGUACAGGUGCUGCAUGGCUGUCGUCAGCUCGUGCUGUGAAGUGUUCGGGUUAAGUCCCGCAACGAGCGCAACCCCUGCUGCCUGUUGCCACCACGAGAGGUGGGGACUCAGGCGGGACCGCCGGUGACAAACCGGAGGAAGGUGGGGACGACGGUCAAGUCAUCAUGGCCCUUAUGUCCUGGGCUACACACGUGCUACAAUGGCCGGUACAGAGCGCAGCGAAGCCGCGAGGCAAAGCGAAUCGCAAAAAGCCGGUCUCAGUACGGAUUGGAGUCUGAAACCCGACUCCAUGAAGUUGGAAUCGCUAGUAAUCGCGCAUCAGCAUGGCGCGGUGAAUACGUUCCCGGGCCUU